rnacentral:ncRNA from 2 species
GAUUAAGCCAUGCAUGUGUAAGUAUGAACUAAUUCAGACUGUGAAACUACGAAUGGCUCAUUAAAUCAGUUAUAGUUUGUUUGAUGGUAUCUACUACUCGGAUAACUGUAGUAAUUCUAGAGCUAAUACGUGCAACAAACCCCGACUUCUGGAAGGGACGCAUUUAUUAGAUAAAAGGUCAACGCGGGCUCUGCCUGUUGCUUUGAUGAUUCAUGAUAACUCGUCGGAUCACACGACCCUUGUGCCGGCGACGCAUCAUUCAAAUUUCUGCCCUAUCAACUUUCAAUGGUAGGAUAGUGGCCUACCAUGGUGGUGACGGGUGACGGAGAAUGCAGGAUGCAAUUCCGACAAGAAUUUAACUAUAUGGGCAC